rnacentral:rRNA from 1 species
CCUACGGGUGGCAGCAGUGAGGAAUAUUGGUCAAUGGACGCAAGUCUGAACCAGCCAUGCCGCGUGCAGGAUGACGGCUCUAUGAGGUGUAAACUGCUUUUGUACGAGGGUAAACCCCGAUACGUGUAUCGGGUUGAAAGAAUCGUACGAAUAAGGAUCGGCUAACUCCGUGCCAGCAGCCGCGGUAAUACGGAGGAUCCGAGCGUUAGCCGGAUUUAUUGGGUUUAAAGGGUGCGUAGGCGGUUUGAUAAGUUGGAGGUGAAAGGUCGGGGCUCAACCCCGAAACUACCUCUAAUACUGUUGGAGUAGAUAGUAGUUGCGGUAGGCGGAAUGUAUGGUGUAGCGGUGAAAUGCUUAGAGAUCAUACAGAACACCGAUUGCGAAGGCAGCUUACCAAACUAUAUCUGACGUUGAGGCACGAAAGCGUGGGUAGCAAACAGGAUUAGAUACCCUUGUAGUC